CGCAUUAGUUAUUCACACAAGGAAGUACACAAAGAAACUGGGUUUACAUCUGCUUUUUACCUUAGGAUUGCUUGUUAGCUAUUAUGGUUUCACCCAAAGAUAUGCUUUCACAAUUUCAUCAACCCUUGCGUCAACCUUCCUACACUUGAUGAUCCUCUCUUUCUCAUAGUAGCGCUCCUCCAUUUCAAGAACAGACUCUUCCAAUGUAAUAUAACUUAGGUCUGUUUUCGUCUUGACUGCAGGGCUGAUUUCAGAACAAGAAAAAAAAAAUUAUGUCACAAACUUGCAUAUGGUAAAUGCAAAAUCGCAAAGGUAACC
rnacentral:lncRNA from 1 species